rnacentral:rRNA from 1 species
AACGUAGGAGGCUAGCGUUAUCCGGAUUUAUUGGGCGUAAAGCGUGUGCAGGCGGUUUAGCAAGUUGGAUGUGAAAGCUCCCGGCUUAACUGGGAGAGGUCGUUCAAAACUGCUAGACUAGAGGAUGGGAGAGGAAGGUGGAAUUCCGGGUGUAGUGGUGAAAUGCGUAGAUAUCCGGAGGAACACCAGUGGCGAAAGCGGCCUUCUAGACCAUUUCUGACGCUUAGACACGAAAGCUAGGGGAGCAAACGGG